UGAACGCUGGCGGCGUGCCUAAUACAUGCAAGUCGAGCGAACAGAUACGGAGCUUGCUCCUUUGACGUUAGCGGCGGACGGGUGAGUAACACGUGGGUAACCUACCUAUAAGACUGGGAUAACUUCGGGAAACCGGAGCUAAUACCGGAUAACAUUUGGAACCGCAUGGUUCUAAAGUGAAAGAUGGUUUUGCUAUCACUUAUAGAUGGACCCGCGCCGUAUUAGCUAGUUGGUAAGGUAACGGCUUACCAAGGCGACGAUACGUAGCCGACCUGAGAGGGUGAUCGGCCACACUGGAACUGAGACACGGUCCAGACUCCUACGGGAGGCAGCAGUAGGGAAUCUUCCGCAAUAGGCGAAAGCCUGACGGAGCAACGCCGCGUGAGUGGUGAAGGGUUUCGGCUCGUAAAACUCUGUUAUUAGGGAAGAACAAAUGUGUAAGUAACUGUGCACGUCUUGACGGUACCUAAUCAGAAAGCCACGGCUAACUACGUG
rnacentral:rRNA from 1 species